rnacentral:rRNA from 1 species
UACGUAGGGGCCAAGCGUUGUCCGGAUUUAUUGGGCGUAAAGAGCUCGUAGGCGGUUCGGCAAGUCGAAUGUGAAAUCUCCACGCUCAACGUGGAGGGGUCAUUCGAUACUGCCGUGACUUGAGUACGGUAGGGGGAGUGUGGAAUUCCCGGUGUAGCGGUGAAAUGCGCAGAGAUCGGGAGGAACACCCGUAGCGAAGGCGGCACUCUGGGCUGAUACUGACGCUGAGGAGCGAAAGCGUGGGGGAGCGAACAGG